GACGAACGCUGGCGGCGUGCUUAACACAUGCAAGUCGAACGGAAAGGCCCUGCUUUUGUGGGGUGCUCGAGUGGCGAACGGGUGAGUAACACGUGAGUAACCUGCCCUUGACUUUGGGAUAACUUCAGGAAACUGGGGCUAAUACCGGAUAGGAGCUCCUGCUGCAUGGUGGGGGUUGGAAAGUUUCGGCGGUUGGGGAUGGACUCGCGGCUUAUCAGCUUGUUGGUGGGGUAGUGGCUUACCAAGGCUUUGACGGGUAGCCGGCCUGAGAGGGUGACCGGCCACAUUGGGACUGAGAUACGGCCCAGACUCCUACGGGAAGCAGCAGUGGGGAAUAUUGCACAAUGGGCGGAAGCCUGAUGCAGCAACGCCGCGUGCGGGAGGACGGCCUUCGGGUUGUAAACCGCUUUCGCCUGUGACGAAGCGUGAGUGACGGUAAUGGGUAAAGAAGCACCGGCUAACUACGU
rnacentral:rRNA from 1 species